rnacentral:lncRNA from 1 species
AAUUCUCCUUACCCUCUCUAAAUGACGUCCUUCGGUUGAUGGAUCUUCGAGACGGCCCGGCAACAUCUAAUCGUCGAGCUCAAGGAGCAAAGCUCGGGGAAGCUUCACAAGGAUAAAGAGAGGAAGAGAAGGGAAAA